GCGCCCCCCUGCACCUGUCCCCGCCAGCAGGGACGCUACUCCCCAAGCAAACACAGCAGGGCACAGCCAGGAUCCUGCACCGUGACAGCUCCCCUCGCACGCCUGGCAGCCGGAAAAAUCGGCCGCAGCAGCCAUAGCCAAGUCCAAGCCUUCAUCCCAGGAGCCACCCGAGGCUGGUGCGGGUCCGGAGAGCCAUGCAGGACACCCGGACUCACCAGCUGCAGAGCGCAGAGCGCAAGAAGAGUGCAGCGGCCGGAGCAAGAGCCCAUGAAUCUCACACAUUGCUGAGUGGUGAGCAACAGGCCUGGGCCUCCCUGGGUCCCAGGGCAGAAAGAGAAUUUCAAGCAAAAGUAUUGAGACCACCACCAGUUCAGUGUAGAAUGGAGCCCACACUGCCAAUGACUGUGAUUCCAUGAACGAAUAUGGGCACUAGACUGGAACCAGGUAAGUGAACUCUAAACCUGUGACAGAAACUCCAACAGUGAAUGGAGAAAGGGGUCCAUUGUCCCUUGAGGUGACACAGGUCCCAAGUGUAUGGAUUUUAAUUUAACAAAAUGCCUCACGGUAUGUUCCAGUGCAGGCGCGUUUGAUUUGACCUCAAUAAAACAUUGACUUUUGGCCAAUUUGAAAGUCAAACGAGCCGGCGGCGAUGGCUCACGUCUUUAGAUCCACUCGGGAGGCAGAAGCAGGCGGAUCUUAAGUUCAAAGCCAACCUGGUCACAGAGUGAGCUCCAGGACAGCCAGGGCUACACAGAGAAACCUGGUCUCUUUAAAAAAAAAGCCCAAACAAACAA